rnacentral:rRNA from 1 species
AGCGAACGCUGGCGGCAGGCCUAACACAUGCAAGUCGAACGAACCUUUCGGGGUUAGUGGCGGACGGGUGAGUAACACGUGGGAACGUGCCUUUAGGUUCGGAAUAACUCAGGGAAACUUGUGCUAAUACCGAAUGUGUCCUUCGGGGGAAAGAUUAAUCGCCUUUAGAGCGGCCCGCGUCUGAUUAGCUAGUUGGUUGAGGUAAUGGCUCACCAAGGCGACGAUCAGUAGCUGGGCUGAGAGGAUGAUCAGCCACAUUUGGACAGAGACACGGACCAAACUCCUACGCGCUGCCGCAAUGUGCAAUCUUACUCUAUGAACGAAAUUCUGACUCUCCCAUGCCGCGUGAAUGAUGCAGGCCUUAGAAUUAUCAGAUUCUUUCCCCGGGGACGAUAAUGACGGUAACCAGAGAACAAGCCCCGGCUAACUUCGUG